UACGGGAGGCAGCAGUAGGGAAUCUUUCGCAAUGGACGAAAGUCUGACGGAGCAACGCCGCGUGAGCGAAGAAGGUCUUCGGAUCGUAAAGCUCUGUUGUCAGGGAAGAACAAGUGCCGUUCGAACAGGGCGGUACCUUGACGGUACCUGACGAGGAAGCCCCGGCUAACUACGUGCCAGCAGCCGCGGUAAUACGUAGGUGGCAAGCGUUGUCCGGAAUUAUUGGGCGUAAAGCGCGCGCAGGCGGUUCCUUAAGUCUGAUGUGAAAUCUCGCGGCUCAACCGCGAGCGGCCAUUGGAAACUGGGGAACUUGAGUGCAGGAGAGGGGAGCGGAAUUCCACGUGUAGCGGUGAAAUGCGUAGAGAUGUGGAGGAACACCAGUGGCGAAGGCGGCUCUCUGGCCUGUAACUGACGCUGAGGCGCGAAAGCGUGGGGAGCAAACAGGAUUAGAUACCCUGGUAGUCCACGCCGUAAACGAUGAGUGCUAAGUGUUAGAGGGUAUCCACCCUUUAGUGCUG
rnacentral:rRNA from 1 species